GUGGUGGGGAGAUGGGAGUGAAGACCGGCUUUCUAAUACCAUCUCCAGUCCCAACGAUCCCACCCAUCUCUGCAAGUGGAGCAAGCCUGUCGCUGGCUUCUCUACUCAGCCUUCUUCAUCCCUACGGAACAUGGCCCCCAGGUACUGGAGUUCAGUCUUCCCCGCCUCCACUCUUAACCCCACGUCUGGUUCCUGAUCAGAAAGUAUGGCAGCUAUAGUCAUGAGACAAUCUUCACAGAGUCAAAAUAUCCAUAAAGGAUUUCAUUGCUCUUCUGACACACGG